ACGCGGGGCGAUGUAGAAUCUUGCUUCUACAUCACCUAUCGGCGCGAGGGUGAGUAACACGUGAUGCAACCUGCCCACAAGACAUGGAUAACUACCGGAAACGGUAGCUAAUACCCGAUACAUCCUUAUCCUGCAUGGGAAAAGGAUGAAAUGCGGAUCAAUCUGUCACUUGUGGAUGGGCCUGCGGCGCAUAAGCUAGUUGGUGGGGUAAAGGCCUACCAAUGCGACGAUGCGUAUCCGACCUGAGAGGGUGAUCGGCCUCUCUGGGACUGAGACACGGUCCAGACUCCUACGGGAGGCAUCAGUAUGGAAUCUUCCGCAAUGGGCGAAAGCCUGACUGAGCAUCUCCGCGUGAGUGAUGAAGGUUUUCGGAUCGUAAAUCUCUGUUGCCAGUGAAUAACUCUUGAUAUAUUAACUGCUCUUGAUGUGACGGUACCUGAUAAGAAAGCCCCGGCUAACUACGUGCCAUCAGCCGCGGUAAU
rnacentral:rRNA from 1 species